AUAUAUGUCAACUGCAUGGUUGCGGUCUGCAACGUUUUGAUUUUGUUUACCAUUAUUGUUAGAUACCCACUGCUGACCACAGUCUUUUUACCAUCAUACCAAUAAUAAAGAAUGGAAACUUUAUAUUGUGUGGUUAACUGGCUGCAACCUGAGGCAGCACAUUGUUUAUUCGUGGGGAUUUAAUUUCGUGGAUGUACCAUUUUUCAAAGUCACUAAGAAAACUAAUUAUAUCAAAGAUUGUUUUCAUCGAGGAUAUAAAUUCGUGAGGGAGACCUACAUAAGAAUAUCGCAAAAAUUGAGCCACCUCCAAUUCUAAUAAUUGCUAACUUUUUGUUCUCUGUCACUCCAGCGUAUAUAUACAUGAAAAAUUCAUUAAAAAAUGAAGGUGGUUAUCGUUAGACGUUAAUUUUAAUGCCAUCGAUUAAACGUUCUAAAAAGCACUAAAGGUGCCAAUAAAAUUCUUUUUGGGUGUUGCUAAAACGCGGAACGGAAAACGGAACGGAAAGCGGAAUGGAACGAAAAAAGUAAAACAUCAUACCACGUUUAUCGCUUUAGACUGGUAUAAACUGGCCACAAACGAUUUGCUUUGUAUUAUUCAUUCAUGUCUAAUAAAUGAUAAUCAACAUG
rnacentral:sRNA from 1 species